GAUGAACGCUGGCGGCGUGCCUAAUACAUGCAAGUCGAGCGAACGGACGAGAAGCUUGCUUCUCUGAUGUUAGCGGCGGACGGGUGAGUAACACGUGGAUAACCUACCUAUAAGACUGGGAUAACUUCGGGAAACCGGAGCUAAUACCGGAUAAUAUUUUGAACCGCAUGGUUCAAAAGUGAAAGACGGUCUUGCUGUCACUUAUAGAUGGAUCCGCGCUGCAUUAGCUAGUUGGUAAGGUAACGGCUUACCAAGGCAACGAUGCAUAGCCGACCUGAGAGGGUGAUCGGCCACACUGGAACUGAGACACGGUCCAGACUCCUACGGGAGGCAGCAGUAGGGAAUCUUACGCAAUGGGCGAAAGCCUAACGGAGCAACGCCGCGUGAGUGAUGAAGGUCUUCUGAUCGUAAAACUCUGUUAUUAGGAAAGAACAAAUGUGUAAGUAACUGUGCACAUCUUGACGGUACCUAAUCAAAAAGCCACGGCUAACUACGUG
rnacentral:rRNA from 1 species